UUACGACCAUAUCACGUUGAAACACCGGUUCUCGUCCGAUCACCGAAGUUAAACAACGUCGAGCCUAGUCAAUACCUAGAUGGGUGACCGCUUAGGAAUACCAAGUGCU
rnacentral:rRNA from 1 species